AGUGAACGCUGGCGGUAGGCCUAACACAUGCAAGUCGAACGGCAGCACAGGAGAGCUUGCUCUCUGGGUGGCGAGUGGCGGACGGGUGAGGAAUACAUCGGAAUCUACUCUGUCGGGGGGGAUAACGUAGGGAAACUUACGCUAAUACCGCAUACGACCUACGGGAGAAAGCAGGGGACCUUCGGGCCUUGCGCGAUGGAAUGAGCCGAUGUCGGAUUAGCUAGUUGGCGGGGUAAAGGCCCACCAAGGCGACGAUCCGUAGCUGGUCUGAGAGGAUGAUCAGCCACACUGGAACUGAGACACGGUCCAGACUCCUACGGGAGGCAGCAGUGGGGAAUAUUGGACAAUGGGCGCAAGCCUGAUCCAGCCAUACCGCGUGGGUGAAGAAGGCCUUCGGGUUGUAAAGCCCUUUUGUUGGGAAAGAAAUCCAGCUGGCUAAUACCCGGUUGGGAUGACGGUACCCAAAGAAUAAGCACCGGCUAACUUCGUGCCAGCAGCCGCAGUAA
rnacentral:rRNA from 1 species